AUACGGAGGGUGCAAGCGUUGUUCGGAAUCACUGGGCGUAAAGGGCGCGCAGGCGGUCCUGCAAGUCAGAUGUGAAAGCCCACGGCCCAACCGGGGAAGUGCAUUUGAAACUGCAGGACUUGAGUAUCAGAGGGGAAAGUGGAAUUCCCGGUGUAGAGGUGAAAUUCGUAGAUAUCGGGAGGAAUACCGGUGGCGAAGGCGACUUUCUGGCUGAAUACUGACGCUGAGGCGCGAAAGCGUGGGGAGCAAACAGGAUUAGAAACCCCAGUAGUCC
rnacentral:rRNA from 1 species